CCCUUAGAUGUUCUGGGCCGCACGCGCGCUACACUGAUGAAUUCAACGAGCACUAACCUGUGCCGAAAGGUUCGGGUAAUCUUGUGAAAUUUCAUCGUGAUGGGGGUUGAUUAUUGCAAUUUUUAAUCAUAAACGAGGAAUGCCUAGUAAGCGUGAGUCAUCAGCUCACGUUGAUUACGUCCCUGCCCUUUGUACACACCGCCCGUCGCUCCUACCGAUUGAAUGUGCCAGUGAAAAGUUCGGAUUGGAGAUAGGAAACGGCAACGUAUCCUAUUUCCGAGAAAAUCUUUAAACUUUCCCAUUUAGAGGAAGGAGAAGUCGUAACA
rnacentral:rRNA from 1 species